UAAAUGUAUGCGUUGCAAAUAUUUUCUUCU
rnacentral:piRNA from 1 species